rnacentral:rRNA from 1 species
UUACCGCGGCUGCUGGCACGUAGUUAGCCGUCCCUUAUUCUUGGUGUACCGUCAUUCGUCUUCCACCAAAAAAGGAGUUUACACACCGUAAUGCGUCAUCCUCCACGCGGAAUCGCUGCAUCAGACUUUCGUCCAUUGUGCAAGAUUCCCCACUGCUGCCUCCCGUAGGAGUAUGGACCGUAUCUCAGUUCCAUCGCGGCCGGACAUCAUCUCAGACCGGCUACCCGUCAUAGACUUGGUAAGCCAUUACCUCACCAACAAUCUGAUAGGACGCACCCCUCUCCUCAAGUGAUAAAUCUUUCCCCCACAUAUUUUCAUUUUGUGGGGCGUAUUGGGAAUUAGCUAUAUCUCUAUAGUUGUUCCCAUCUUGAGGGCAAGUUAAGUACGCGUUACUCGCUCGUUUGCCACUAUUCAUAUUUUGGAGCAAGCUCCAAAACAGAAUCGUUCGACUUGCAUGUGUUAGGCGUUCCGCUAGCGUUCAUCCUGAGCCAUGAUCAAACUC